rnacentral:rRNA from 1 species
GACGUAGGGUGCAAGCGUUGUCCGGAAUCAUUGGGCGUAAAGAGCUCGUAGGCGGCUUAGUAAGUCGGGUGUGAAAACUCUAGGCUCAACCUAGAGACGCCACCCGAUACUGCUAUAGCUAGAAUCCAGUAGGGGAGUGUGGAAUUCCCAGUGUAGCGGUGAAAUGCGCAGAUAUUGGGAGGAACACCAGCGGCGAAGGCGGCACUCUGGGCUGGUACUGACGCUGAGACGCGAAAGCGUGGGGAGCGAACAGG